rnacentral:lncRNA from 10 species
AUAAGGCAAUCAGCUACCUAGCCACAGUGCCCAAGUACCGUAUCCAAGCUACAGAGAUUGCCAAGCAGCAGGGACUGCUCAAAAAAGCCAAAGAAAAAGGCAAAAACAAAAAGUCCAAAGAAGAAAUUCGUGACGAGGAGGAGAACAUCAUAAAGAACAUUAUAAAAAGUAAAAUAGAUAUAAAGGGGGGCUAUCAGAAACCCCAAAUCUGUGAUCUUCUCCUGUUUCAAAUUAUCUUAGCUCCUUUUCACCUAUGCUCAUAUAUAGUUUGGUAUUGUCGGUGGAUCUAUAAUUUUAACAUCAAAGGCAAAGAAUAUGGAGAGGAAGAGAGAUUAUACAUUAUACGUAAAUCUAUGAAGAUGUCAAAGUCUCAAUUUGAUAGUCUAGAAGAUCAUCAGAAAGAAACUUUUCUUAAACGAGAGCUCUGGAUCAAGGAGAAUUAUGAGGUCUACAAGCAAGAAC